rnacentral:rRNA from 1 species
GCGCAUGUGCUGUGAGCUCGAUGAGUAGGGCGGGACACGUGGUAUCCUGUCUGAAUAUGGGGGGACCAUCCUCCAAGGCUAAAUACUCCUGACUGACCGAUAGUGAACCAGUACCGUGAGGGAAAGGCGAAAAGAACCCCGGCGAGGGGAGUGAAAAAGAACCUGAAACCGUGUACGUACAAGCAGUGGGAGCACAGGUUUACCUGUGUGACUGCGUACCUUUUGUAUAAUGGGUCAGCGACUUAUAUUCUGUAGCAAGGUUAACCGAAUAGGGGAGCCGGAGGGAAACCGAGUCUUAAUUGGGCGUUAAGUUGCAGGGUAUAGACCCGAAACCCGGUGAUCUAGCCAUGGGCAGGUUGAAGGUUGGGUAACACUAACUGGAGGACCGAACCGACUAAUGUUGAAAAAUUAGCGGAUGACCUGUGGCUGGGGGUGAAAGGCCAAUCAAACCGGGAGAUAGCUGGUUCUCCCCGAAAGCUAUUUAGGUAGCGCCUCGUGAAUUCAUCUCCGGGGGUAGAGCACUGUUUCGGCUAGGGGGCCAUCCCGGCUUACCAACCCGAUGCAAACUGCGAAUACCGGAGAAUGUUAUCACGGGAGACACACGGCGGGUGCUAACGUCCGUCGUGAAGAGGGAAACAACCCAGACCGCCAGCUAAGGUCCCAAAGUCAUGGUUAAGUGGGAAACGAUGUGGGAAGGCCCAGACAGCCAGGAUGUUGGCUUAGAAGCAGCCAUCAUUUAAAGAAAGCGUAAUAGCUCACUGGUCGAGUCGGCCUGCGCGGAAGAUGUAACGGGGCUAAACCAUGCACCGAAGCUGCGGCAGCGACACUGUGUGUUGUUGGGUAGGGGAGCGUUCUGUAAGCCUGCGAAGGUGGCCUGUGAGGGUUGCUGGAGGUAUCAGAAGUGCGAAUGCUGACAUAAGUAACGAUAAAGCGGGUGAAAAGCCCGCUCGCCGGAAGACCAAGGGUUCCUGUCCAACGUUAAUCGGGGCAGGGUGAGUCGACCCCUAAGGCGAGGCCGAAAGGCGUAGUCGAUGGGAAACGGGUUAAUAUUCCCGUACUUGGUGUUACUGCGAAGGGGGGACGGAGAAGGCUAUGUUGGCCGGGCGACGGUUGUCCCGGUUUAAGCGUGUAGGUGUGUGUUCCAGGUAAAUCCGGUUCACUUUAACACUGAGGCGUGACGACGAGGCACUACGGUGCUGAAGCAACAAAUGCCCUGCUUCCAGGAAAAGCCUCUAAGCAUCAGGUAACAUCAAAUCGUACCCCAAACCGACACAGGUGGUCAGGUAGAGAAUACCAAGGCGCUUGAGAGAACUCGGGUGAAGGAACUAGGCAAAAUGGUGCCGUAACUUCGGGAGAAGGCACGCUGACACGUAGGUGAAGUGAUUUACUCAUGGAGCUGAAGUCAGUCGAAGAUACCAGCUGGCUGCAACUGUUUAUUAAAAACACAGCACUGUGCAAACACGAAAGUGGACGUAUACGGUGUGACGCCUGCCCGGUGCCGGAAGGUUAAUUGAUGGGGUCAGCGCAAGCGAAGCUCCUGAUCGAAGCCCCGGUAAACGGCGGCCGUAACUAUAACGGUCCUAAGGUAGCGAAAUUCCUUGUCGGGUAAGUUCCGACCUGCACGAAUGGCGUAAUGAUGGCCAGGCUGUCUCCACCCGAGACUCAGUGAAAUUGAACUCGCUGUGAAGAUGCAGUGUACCCGCGGCAAGACGGAAAGACCCCGUGAACCUUUACUAUAGCUUGACACUGAACAUUGAGCCUUGAUGUGUAGGAUAGGUGGGAGGCUUUGAAGUGUGGACGCCAGUCUGCAUGGAGCCGACCUUGAAAUACCACCCUUUAAUGUUUGAUGUUCUAACGUGGACCCGUUACCCGGGUUGCGGACAGUGUCUGGUGGGUAGUUUGACUGGGGCGGUCUCCUCCUAAAGAGUAACGGAGGAGCACGAAGGUUGGCUAAUCCUGGUCGGACAUCAGGAGGUUAGUGCAAUGGCAUAAGCCAGCUUGACUGCGAGCGUGACGGCGCGAGCAGGUGCGAAAGCAGGUCAUAGUGAUCCGGUGGUUCUGAAUGGAAGGGCCAUCGCUCAACGGAUAAAAGGUACUCCGGGGAUAACAGGCUGAUACCGCCCAAGAGUUCAUAUCGACGGCGGUGUUUGGCACCUCGAUGUCGGCUCAUCACAUCCUGGGGCUGAAGUAGGUCCCAAGGGUAUGGCUGUUCGCCAUUUAAAGUGGUACGCGAGCUGGGUUUAGAACGUCGUGAGACAGUUCGGUCCCUAUCUGCCGUGGGCGCUGGAGAACUGAGGGGGGCUGCUCCUAGUACGAGAGGACCGGAGUGGACGCAUCACUGGUGUUCGGGUUGUCAUGCCAAUGGCACUGCCCGGUAGCUAAAUGCGGAAGAGAUAAGUGCUGAAAGCAUCUAAGCACGAAACUUGCCCCGAG